rnacentral:rRNA from 1 species
AUUGAACGCUGGCGGCAGGCCUAACACAUGCAAGUCGAGCGAGCGGCGGACGGGGGAGUAAUGUAUGGGGACUGCCCGAUAGAGGGGGAUAACUACGGGAAACGGGAGCUAAAACCGCAUAUUAUCGGAUAACCCCCAUGGGAUUAGCUAGUAGGUGAGGUAAUGUCUCACCCAGGCGACGAUCCCUAGCUGGUCUGAGAGGAUGAUCAGCCACACGGGGACUGAGACACGGCCCAGACGCCGACGGAGGCAGCAGUGGGGAAUAUUGCACAAUGGGCGCAAGCCGUAUGCAGCCAUGCCGCGUGUAUGAAGAAGGCCCUAGGGUUGUAAAGUACUUUCAGUCGGGAGGCGUUACCGACAGAAGAAGCACCGGCUAACUCCGUGCCAGCAGCCGCGGUAAUAC